UUCAUUGCACUUUACUAUGGGCAAUACUGGCGCUCAUUUCGCUCGCAGGAGCGACACCAAUUGAAGAUGAAAUAAUAGAACCCGUGCAACUUUCAUCAGUUCCAUUUGUUAAAAUCGGCCAAGGUUAUUACUACAUUGAAACCAACACGAAAAAGAAUUGGUAUGAUGCAUCCGAAUCGUGUCGUCGAAUAGACUCCCAUCUUAUAUCUUUUGAGACCCUUGAGGAAUGGGAUUUGGUAAAUCAAUAUCUUUAUAAGAAGGGAAUAGAUGACGUAUACUGGACCUCUGGUUCCGAUUUGGGUCAUCAGAGAAGGCAUCAUUGGUUUUCUACCGGUGAGCCCUUAGCGUUGAAUAUUUGGUAUCCAGGAGAGCCAAAUAAUUAUAAUGGAAUUGAGCAUUGUGACUUGUUGGGCGAUCGCAGGACUCGCACGAACUACAAUGUUUUGAAUGAUCAGGACUGCGAGUAUCAAGUCCUUUACAUUUGCGAAAAACCUAUUCCCCAGAUUAUCUGUUAAACAUUAAAAACAAUAAUC